UGUUAUGAGACCUUAUAUUUUUUUAAUUCAAAUAGCAUACAUACACGUACAUAUAUAUAUAUAUUUAUAUAUAUAUAUACCUAUAUUACAUGCAUGUUGCUGAAAAAAAAAAAGCGAAGGAUAGAGGCAUGGUCUCCACGUGGCACCUUCUUCUCCUCAUCUUCCACCGCCAUUUCCUUCUUCCGUUUUCUUUUUGUUCUGUUUUUGCUGAAGAAAAAAAAGGAAGAACAGAGAGGGGGAGAUAGAGAGCGAUAGAGAGAGCUAGGGGGAAAGAAAAAUAGGAAAACGAGAGCCCGCCAUUGACGACCUUCUCGAGCUUCGUUGAGCUCAUCCAUGCUUCCCUUUUUCUAUCUCAUGAGCUUCUAAUUGAUUCCCUAACUUCUUGCUAUUGCCAAUUUGAUGUUCCUCUUGGUUGUUCUUGCUGGUUUGGCUUCGUUUUGAUGUCGAGAAGCUCGCGGAUGAGAGAGGCAGGAGAGAAUGAGACUUGAUCAAGAGGGGUGAAUAAAAUGGGGCAAGUGGAGAGAAUAACGGGCUCGAAGUAGGAAUCCAUUCGAGGGGAUGAGUUUAGAUUGCAAUUGUUAGCAAAUGGAGAACAGAGUGAGGAGGAACCCAAUUCAAAGGGAAUAAUUUGUAAUCAAUUAGAUUAUGGGUAUACUAAGGUAUGUAGCUAAUUUUGUUUCUAUGGAUUUGCUUUCUUGAUUGUGUUUUCUUGUAGGUAAUUUGACGGUAAGAGAUGGUAGAAUUAUAAAAUUAGAGCAAAAAGAAGAUAAGAUAAUAUAGAGUAAACAAAGGAGUAAAUAGUAUAAUGUUGAUUUGAUAGUGUAUGAAACAUAGAUUGAAUUUAUCUAAAAUGAUUUAGAGAUUGGUCUGUUAUGUUGAUAAUAUGAUGGAAUUUGCUUCUUCGGUUAGUUGGGAUAUAUGGUUGUUAGAGCUUUAUGAAAGUAUCUGAUAAUGACAAGUGUCAAGUGCUUGUUUUGCUUGCUAAGUUAAGUGAUAUUAGUGAUAAAUUGAUGAAACAAAACAUCAGUUGAUUGUGUAAGUUAAGUGAUGUUAUAAGGGUAAGUCCUAGAGAUUUGUGUGUGAAUAAAAUACUGGAUGGAGCUAAUGGGAAGUAUAGACAUGAUAGAGGUGAACUUGAUUUUAGAAGUAUUUUUAAAGUGGAAUAGAGAUAAACUAGCACCAGUAAAUAUAGUGAUUAUAUUGUCUAGUUAUAAUAUAUGAUCUGUUCUUAUUGAGGCCAAAGGGGCCAUGCUUGUAAUUUAAUUCUAAAGAGAAAUAGUUAAUCAAUAAACGGGUGUGCUAAGUGGUUUGAUAUUGUAAUGUAUCAUGUAUGCAUAAUUUAGUCCUUGUUAUACUUAUACUUGACUAGGGACUGAGGAGAUUGUGUUUUCUUGUAGGUAAUUUGACGGUAAGAGAUGGUAGAAUUAUAAAAUUAGAGCAAAAAGAAGAUAAGAUAAUAUAGAGUAAACAAAGGAGUAAAUAGUAUAAUGUUGAUUUGAUAGUGUAUGAAACAUAGAUUGAAUUUAUCUAAAAUGAUUUAGAGAUUGGUCUGUUAUGUUGAUAAUAUGAUGGAAUUUGCUUCUUCGGUUAGUUGGGAUAUAUGGUUGUUAGAGCUUUAUGAAAGUAUCUGAUAAUGACAAGUGUCAAGUGCUUGUUUUGCUUGCUAAGUUAAGUGAUAUUAGUGAUAAAUUGAGGAAACAAAACAUCAGUUGAUUGUGUAAGUUAAGUGAUGUUAUAAGGGUAAGUCCUAGAGAUUUGUGUGUGAAUAAAAUACUGGAUGGAGCUAAUGAGAAGUAUAGACAUGAUAGAGGUGAACUUGAUUUUAGAAGUAUUUUUAAAGUGGAAUAGAGAUAAACUAGCACCAGUAAAUAUAGUGAUUAUAUUGUCUAGUUAUAAUAUAUGAUCUGUUCUUAUUGAGGCCAAAGGGGCCAUGCUUGUAAUUUAAUUCUAAAGAGAAAUAGUUAAUCAAUAAACGGGUGUGCUAAGUGGUUUGAUAUUGUAAUGUAUCAUGUAUGCAUAAUUUAGUCCUUGUUAUACUUAUACUUGACUAGGGACUGAGGAGACUAAAUCCCGACAUUCGAAAGGCUCGAUUUGAUGGACUAUAUCUUGGAGUUUUAUGAGUACUUUAUUCUCUUGUAAAAUGAUAUAUUAUAGUUAUAUAAAUUAUUUAAGAAGAAUAUUGCGAUAGUUAGAUUAAAGAAUCGGUCUUGCCAUGUUGUGUGAAAUGAUUUGAAAGGUAUUGCCCUUUUUGGUUUCAUUUUGACUUGAAAUAUGCAGUGGGAUUGUUUAUAAGAUAUGUGAUAAUAAUGUGAUACCAUUGUAAUGUAAUUGGAAUUGUGCUUGAGUGUAUUAAUAUUGUUUGAUUAUAACCAUGGAAUUGCUGGACCCGACGGGAUAGAAAAAGGGGCCCGAACGGUCGCUGGACCUGGCAGGACAGAAAAUGGAGCUCGAAUGGCCGCUGGACCCGGCGGAAUAUAAAUUGAGGUCAACUCUUACCGCCAAAGAUUAAUAGGCGGCCCCCGCUUAUGAGAUAUGAAUAUUGGGAGUUGAGAAUGAUAUGAGUGAGAUGUGCGGGGUCACGAUACCGUCCUAAUUUGUCGCAAGGAAAUGUUACCCUAUAGCUAUAUUGAUUGGUUGUGUUGUAUAUUGUUUAUCUGGUUUGAUUGUUGGAGAUGUGAUGAUUGUUGAAAUUGUCUGAGGUUGUUCUGUAAAAGUCGUGUUGUUGCUAAAACUUGAUCUGGCAAGUGAUUGUGUAGUGAUUUGUUAUGAAACACCAAAUGAAUAGAUAUUUGAUGUUUAUGCGAUAUUGGAUAUUA